AGUGAACGCUGGCGGUAGGCCUAACACAUGCAAGUCGAACGGCAGCACGGUAAGAGCUUGCUCUUACGGGUGGCGAGUGGCGGACGGGUGAGGAGUACAUCGGAAUCUACUUUUUCGUGGGGGAUAACGUAGGGAAACUUACGCUAAUACCGCAUACGACCUACGGGUGAAAGCAGGGGAUCUUCGGACCUUGCGCGAUUGAAUGAGCCGAUGUCGGAUUAGCUAGUUGGCGGGGUAAAGGCCCACCAAGGCGACGAUCCGUAGCUGGUCUGAGAGGAUGAUCAGCCACACUGGAACUGAGACACGGUCCAGACUCCUACGGGAGGCAGCAGUGGGGAAUAUUGGACAAUGGGCGCAAGCCUGAUCCAGCCAUACCGCGUGGGUGAAGAAGGCCUUCGGGUUGUAAAGCCCUUUUGUUGGGAAAGAAAAGCAGCAGGUUAAUACCCCGCUGUUCUGACGGUACCCAAAGAAUAAGCACCGGCUAACUUCGUG
rnacentral:rRNA from 1 species